rnacentral:rRNA from 1 species
UACAGAGGCCUCGAGCGUUAGGCGGAAUCACUGGGCUUAAAGCGUGUGUAGGUGGAUGCCUAAGUACCUUGUGAAAUCCCAUGGCUUAACCAUGGAAUUGCUUGGUAUACUGGGUGUCUUGAGCCACUCAGGGGCUACUGGAACAAACGGUGGAGCGGUGAAAUGCGUAGAUAUCAUUUGGAACGCCAAUGGUGAAAACAGGUAGCUGGGAGUGUGCUGACACUGAGACACGAAAGCCAGGGGAGCGAACGGG